rnacentral:rRNA from 1 species
GGCGUGCUUAACACAUGCAAGUCGAACGGAAAGGCCCUGCUUUUGUGGGGUGCUCGAGUGGCGAACGGGUGAGUAACACGUGAGUAACCUGCCCUUGACUUUGGGAUAACUUCAGGAAACUGGGGCUAAUACCGGAUAGGAGCUCCUGCUGCAUGGUGGGGGUUGGAAAGUUUCGGCGGUUGGGGAUGGACUCGCGGCUUAUCAGCUUGUUGGUGGGGUAGUGGCUUACCAAGGCUUUGACGGGUAGCCGGCCUGAGAGGGUGACCGGCCACAUUGGGACUGAGAUACGGCCCAGACUCCUACGGGAGGCAGCAGUGGGGAAUAUUGCACAAUGGGCGGAAGCCUGAUGCAGCAACGCCGCGUGCGGGAUGACGGCCUUCGGGUUGUAAACCGCUUUCGCCUGUGACGAAGCGUGAGUGACGGUAAUGGGUAAAGAAGCACCGGCUAACUACGUGCCAGCAGCCGCGGUGAUACGUAGGGUGCGAGCGUUGUCCGGAUUUAUUGGGCGUAAAGGGCUCGUAGGUGGUUGAUCGCGUCGGAAGUGUAAUCUUGGGGCUUAACCCUGAGCGUGCUUUCGAUACGGGUUGACUUGAGGAAGGUAGGGGAGAAUGGAAUUCCUGGUGGAGCGGUGGAAUGCGCAGAUAUCGGGAGGAACACCAGUGGCGAAGGCGGUUCUCUGGGCCUUUCCUGACGCUGAGGAGCGAAAGCGUGGGGAGCGAACAGGCUUAGAUACCCUGGUAGUCCACGCUGUAAACGGUGGGUACUAGGUGUGGGGUCCAUUCCACGGGUUCCGUGCCGUAGCUAACGCUUUAAGUACCCCGCCUGGGGAGUACGGCCGCAAGGCUAAAACUCAAAGGAAUUGACGGGGCCCCGCACAAGCGGCGGAGCAUGCGGAUUAAUUCGAUGCAACGCGUAGAACCUUACCUGGGUUUGACAUGGAUCGGGAGUGCUCAGAGAUGGGUGUGCCUCUUUUGGGGUCGGUUCACAGGUGGUGCAUGGCUGUCGUCAGCUCGUGUCGUGAGAUGUUGGGUUAAGUCCCGCAACGAGCGCAACCCUUGUUCACUGUUGCCAGCACGUUAUGGUGGGGACUCAGUGGAGACCGCCGGGGUCAACUCGGAGGAAGGUGGGGAUGACGUCAAGUCAUCAUGCCCCUUAUGUCCAGGGCUUCACGCAUGCUACAAUGGCUGGUACAGAGAGUGGCGAGCCUGUGAGGGUGAGCGAAUCUCGGAAAGCCGGUCUCAGUUCGGAUUGGGGUCUGCAACUCGACCUCAUGAAGUCGGAGUCGCUAGUAAUCGCAGAUCAGCAACGCUGCGGUGAAUACGUUCCCGGGGCUUGUACACACCGCCCGUCAAGUCAUGAAAGUUGGUAACACCCGAAGCCGGUGGCCUAACCGUUGUGGGGGAGCCGUCGAAGGUGGGACUGGUGAUUAGGACU